UGGGGAAUUUUGUGCAAUGGGGGAAACCCUGACACAGCGACACCGCGUGAGCGAAGAAGCCCUUUGGGGUGUAAAGCUCUGUCAACGGGAACGAAAAAAUGACGGUACCCGUGGAGGAAGCAUCGGCUAACUACGUGCCAGCAGCCGCGGUAAGACGUAGGAUGCAAGCGUUGUCCGGAUUUAUUGGGCGUAAAGAGUUCGUAGGCUGUUUGUUAAGUCUGAUGUUAAAGACUGGGGCUCAACCUCGGAAAUGCAUUGGAUACUGGCAGACUGGAGUGCAGUAGAGGCUAGUGGAAUUCCCAGUGUAGCGGUGAAAUGCGUAGAUAUUGGGAAGAACACCGGUGGCGUAGGCGACUAGCUGGGCUGUAACUGACGCUGAGGAACGAAAGCCAGGGGAGCGAAUGGGAUUAGAUACCCUGGUAGUCCCUGAGCGGGCUGGCAAGGCGCAU
rnacentral:rRNA from 1 species